rnacentral:rRNA from 1 species
UACGAAGGGGGCUAGCGUUGCUCGGAAUCACUGGGCGUAAAGGGUGCGUAGGCGGGUCUUUAAGUCAGGGGUGAAAUCCUGGAGCUCAACUACAGAACUGCCUUUGAUACUGAGGAUCUUGAGUUCGGGAGAGGUGAGUGGAACUGCGAGUGUAGAGGUGAAAUUCGUAGAUAUUCGCAAGAACACCAGUGGCGAAGGCGGCUCACUGGCCCGAUACUGACGCUGAGGCACGAAAGCGUGGGGAGCAAACAGG